AGUCUUGUUUGUUAGCCAAGGAUGACUUGCCUGCUUUUUACAAGAGUGCAUCAAUUAGAGUUGCUGUUCUCGUCGAUCGAUGCGUACGGUUGCAAGGUGACGAGGCAGGUCAUCCUGGCUUAUUUGACGUGCUCU
rnacentral:pre_miRNA from 1 species